rnacentral:rRNA from 1 species
CCUACGGGAGGCAGUAGUGAGGAAUAUUGGUCAAUGGACGCAAGUCUGAACCAGCCAUGCCGCGUGCAGGAAGACGGCUCUAUGAGUUGUAAACUGCUUUUGUACGAGGGUAAACGCAGCUACGCGUCUCUGUCUGAAAGUAUCGUACGAAUAAGGAUCGGCUAACUCCGUGCCAGCAGCCGCGGUAAUACGGAGGAUUCAAGCGUUAUCCGGAUUUAUUGGGUUUAAAGGGUGCGUAGGCGGUCGGAUAAGUUAGAGGUGAAAUCCCGAGGCUCAACUUCGGAAUUGCCUCUGAUACUGGCCGGCUAGAGAGUAGUUGCGGUAGGCGGAAUGUAUGGUGUAGCGGUGAAAUGCUUAGAGAUCAUACAGAACACCGAUUGCGAAGGCAGCUUACCAAGCUACUUCUGACGUUGAGGCACGAAAGCGUGGGGAGCAAACAGGAUUAGAUACCCUGGUAGUC